GAAGAUCCGCAAGACUUUCGUGCAGAGGAACAUGUUUGAGUUCAAGCACAUCAAGGCCUUCGACCGGGCUUUUGCUGACAACCCAGGACCGAUGGUUGUGUUUGCCACGCCAGGAAUGCUGCACGCUGGGCAGUCCCUGCAGAUCUUCCGGAAAUGGGCCGGAAACGAAAAGAACAUG
rnacentral:sRNA from 1 species